GGAAUAUUGGACAAUGGACGAAAGUCUGAUCCAGCCAUGCCGCGUGCAGGAAGAAUGCCCUCUGGGUUGUAAACUGCUUUUAUAUGGGAAUAAACCCCCGGACGUGUCCGGGGCUGAAUGUACCAUACGAAUAAGCACCGGCUAACUCCGUGCCAGCAGCCGCGGUAAUACGGAGGGUGCAAGCGUUAUCCGGAUUUAUUGGGUUUAAAGGGUCCGUAGGUGGAAUUGUAAGUCAGUGGUGAAAUCUUUCAGCUCAACUGGAAAAUUACCAUUGAUACUGCAGUUCUUGAGUGUGGUUGAAGUAGGCGGAAUAUGUCAUGUAGCGGUGAAAUGCAUAGAUAUGACAUAGAACACCGAUAGCGAAGGCAGCUUACUAAACCAUAACUGACACUGAGGGACGAAAGCGUGGGGAGCGAAC
rnacentral:rRNA from 1 species